rnacentral:rRNA from 1 species
ACUUUUAAUAAUAGAUCUCUUAGUUCUAGUAUUAAUAAAGAACGCAGCGAAAUGCGAUAAGUAGUGUGAAUUGUAGAAUUUAGUAAAUUAUUAAAUCUUUGAACGUAUAUUGCGCCCCUUAGUAUUCUAUAGGGCAUGCCUGUUUAAGCGUUAUUUGUACCCUUAAGCUCUGCUUGGUGUUAGGUGUUUGUUUUACUUAGGACUCGCCUUAAAACAAUUAGUAGCUAGUAUAUUAGCCUAGAGCGCAGCACAUUUUGUGCCUCUUGUUAUAGUUAUUAGCAUCUAUUAAGACACUUUUUAAGCUCUUAACCUUAGAUUAGGUAAGGAUACCCGCUAAACUUAAGUAUAUUAAUAAGCGGAGGAAAAGAAACUAAUAGGGAUUGCCCUAGUAACGGCGAGUGAAGCGGUAAUAGCUUAAAUUUGAAAUCUGGCUCUUUUAGGGUCCAAGUUAUAAUUUGCAGAGGGCGCUUUAGCGUUAGUAGUGGUCUAAGUUCCUUAGAAUAGGAUGUUAUAGAGGGUAAGAAUCCUAUACGUAGUUGCUAGCCUUUGCUAUAUAAAGCCCCUUUAACAAGUUAAGUUAUUUAGGAAUGCAGCUCUAAAUAGGAGGUAAAUUUCUUCUAAAGCUAAAUACUAGCUAGAGACUAAUAGCGCACAAGUAGAGUAAUUAAAAGAUAAAAAGUACUUUAGAAAGAGAGUUAAAUAGCACGUAAAAUUGUUAAAAGGGAAGCGCUUGCAGCUAGACUUGCCUGUAGUUGCUUAUCUAGGCUUUUGUCUAGUGCACUCUUCUAUAGGUAGGCUAGCAUUAGUUUAGGUAGUUAGAUAAAGGUCUCUGUUAUGUACCUCCCUUUAGGGAGGCCUUAUAGGGGAGACGACAUGCAACUAGCCUAGACUAAGGUCCGCGUAUCUGCUAGGAUGCUGGCGUAAUAGCUGUAAGCGGCCUGUCUUAAAACAUAGACUAAGGAGUCUAAUAUCUAUGCGAGUGUUUAGGUGUUAAGCCUAGACGCGUAAUAAAAGUAAACGGAGGUGGGACCCCUUUUAGGGUGUACUAUUAACUAAUCCUAAUAUCUUUAGAAGGAUUUAAGUAAGAGCAUAGCUAUUAGGACCUAAAAGAUAGUGAACUAUGCUUAAAUACGGUAAAGCUAGAGGAAACUCUAGUAGAGGCUCGCAGCAGUUCUAACGUGCAAAUUAAUUGUUAAAUUUAGGCAUAGGGGCGAAAGACUAAUUAAACUAUCUAGUAGCUAGUUCCUACUAAAGUUUCCCUUAGGAUAGCAGUAACGUAUUUAGUUUUAUAAGGUAAAGCGAAUAAUUAGAGGCCUAGGGGUUAAAAUAACCUUUACCUAUUCUUAAACUUUAAAUAUGUAAGAAGUCCUUGUUACUUAAUUAAACGUAGACACUUAAAUGUACUGUUACUAGUAGGCUAUUUUUAGUAAGCAGAACUAGCGAUGCGGGAUAAACUAAACGUAGGGUUAAGGUGCUAGAAUGCACGCUUAUUAGAUACUACAAAAGGUGUUAGUUUAUCUAGACAGUAGGAUAGUAGCUAUAGAAGUUAGAAUCUACUAAGGAGUGUGUAAUAACUUACCUACUAAAUAAACUAGCCCUAAAAAUAGAUGGCGCUUAAGCGUGUUACCUAUACCCCGCCGCUAGGGCAAGAUUUAAGCCCUAGCAAGUAGGCAGGCGUGGAGGCUCGUGACGAAGCCUUAGGGGUAACCCUAGGUAGAACAGCCUCUAGUGCAGAUCUUAGUAGUAGUAGCAAAUACUUAAAUAAGAACUUUAAGGACUAAAGUAGGGAAAGGUUCUGUGUAAAUAGCAGUUAGACACGGGUUAGUUAAUCCUAAGAGAUAGGGUAAUUCUAUUUUAAUGUCGGCGCUUACACCGCGCCCUUAAAAGGGAAGCUAGUUAAUAUUCUAGCACCUAGAUGUAGAUUCUCUGUAGCAACGUAACUAAGAGCAGAGACCUUAGCAGGAGCCCUAAGAAGAGUUCUCUUUUCUUCUUAACGGUCUAUUACCCUAAAAUUAGUUUAUCUAGAGCUAGGGUUUAAUAGCUAGAAGAGCGCUGCACUUUUAUAGCGUUUAGUGCGCUCCUAAUAAGCCUUAAAAAUCUACUUAAAGAAAUAGUUUUUACGCUAGGUCGUACUUAUAACUAUAGCAGGUCUCUAAGGUAAAAAGCCUCUAGUUAAUAGAAUAAUAUAGAUAAGGGAAGUUAGUAAAAUAGAUCUAUAACUUUAGGAAAAGGAUUAGCUCUAAGGGUUAGGUACGUUGGGCCUUAGGGAGAAGCCUCUAGCGUAGAAGGGCACUAACCAUAAGGUGGGCGCCUCUUAGCGCUAGGGUGCAGACACCCUUAGUAGAGUUUUAGCUAUCUAGCGUAUAUUUAAUAACUAACUUAGAACUAGUAUAGAUAAGGGGAAUCUAACUAUCUAAUUAAAACAUAGCAUUGCAAUAGCUAGAAAGUAGUAUUAACGUAAUGUGAUUUCUGCCUAGUGCUCUAAAUAUUAAAGCAAAGAGAUUUAACUAAGCGCGGGUAAAUAGCGGGAGUAACUAUAACUCUCUUAAGGUAGCUAAAUGCCUUGUUAUCUAAUUAGUGACGCGUAUAAAUAGAUUAAUGAGAUUCCUACUAUCCCUAUCUACUAUCUAGCGAAACUAUAGCUAAGGGAACAGGCUUAGCUAAAUUAGCGGGGAAAGAAGACCCUGUUAAGCUUGACUCUAGUUUAAUAUUGUAAAAAGAUAUAGGGGGUGUAGAAUAGGUAGGAGCUUUAGCACUAGUGAAAUACUACUACCCUUAUUGUUUUUUUACUUAUUUGAUAAAGUGGAGCUAGGCCUUACUACCUAACUUCUAGCGUUUAAGGUCCUUUGUGGGCUAAUCUAGGUUAAAGAUAUUGUUAGGUAGGGAGUUUGGCUAGGGCGGCACAUCUAUUAAACUAUAACGUAGGUGUCCUAAGGGGGACUUAUAGAGAAUAGAAAUCUCUAGUAGAGCAAAAGGGCAAAAGUCCCCUUGAUUUUGAUUUUUAGUGUGAAUACAAACCAUGAAAGUGUAGCCUAUUAAUCCUUUAGUCCCUUAAAAUUUAAGGCUAGAGGUGCUAGAAAAGUUACCACAGGGAUAACUAGCUUGUGGCAGCUAAGCGUUUAUAGCAACGUUGCUUUUUAAUCCUUUAAUAUUAGCUCUUCCUAUUAUACUAAAGCAGAAUUUAGUAAGCGUUAGAUUGUUUACCUACUAAUAGGGAACGUAAGCUAGGUUUAGACUGUUGUAAGACAGGUUAGUUUUACCCUACUAAUAACCUUGCCCUAAUAGUAAUACUGCUUAGUACGAGAGGAACCGUGGUUUUAGAUAAUUAGUUUUUGCGGCUGUCUAACUAGGUAUUGCCGCGAAGCUACUAUCUACUAGAUUAUAGCUAAACGCCUCUAAGUUAGAAUCUAUGCUAGAAUAGGGUGAUUUCUGCCUGCACUAGUUAGAUAUAAAUAGGCCUUUGGCCUAGAACCUUACUAGAUCGGCGUUAGCAGCCCUAUUGAAGUUAGAGUUGUUAGCUAGUGUAUUAUAAUUGUAUAGUGCGCAGGAUUGAAUCCUUUAUAGAUAACUUAGUUGUCUAGCUGGGUCGUGUAAGUAGUUAAGUAGCCUUGUUAUUACGAGCUACUAAGCGUAAGCCCGUUGCUAGCUUGGUUAAAAUUGGGAUAUUAUACCCUCCUUAUUUGCAAAACUGCUGCCUAAAUGGCUACUAUUAAUAGAAGGAAGAGGGCUAUAGCUAAUAUGUUAUAUAGCAAUUGCAAGAUAGCGAGGGCUAGAGCUAGAAGCAAUCCUUACAAAAUAUACAAAAGAACAGGUUGUGUGUGUACGUACCCUAAGUAGGUUAAUUAUAGCAUAUAAAGAUUAAAAAAGGAUAUAAAAUAAUCUAUAUAUAUUCGUAGGCGGUGUUCUAUAACUUAGGGCGUUCUAUAACCCUUUAUUUAUUAGGGGUAGUGUUCUAUAACUUAGGGCGUUCUAUACUUAAAAAAUCUUAUAGGCUAUUCUAUAACUAUAGAUUAUUCUAAACCUUUAGGGCAUUCUAUUAAUGUUUUAAAAAAUCUAGUAGGCUAUUUUAUAAGCUUAUAGCGUUCUAUAACUUUAGGGCGUUCUAUAACUUAGGGCGUUCUAUAACUUAGGGCGUUCUAUAACUUUUUACUUCUUAGGGGUAGUGUUCUAUAACUUAGGGCGUUCUAUACUUAAAAAAUCUUAUAGGCUAUUCUAUAACUAUAGAUUAUUCUAAACCUUUAGGGCAUUCUAUUAAUAUUUUAAAAAAUCUAGUAGGCUAUUUUAUAAGCUGUGGAAAAUUGGAUCACUAAGGUUAGGAAUAAUUUAGGAGAUGGAUCAUUAGAUUGUAUCUACUACGAUCGGACUCAUAUAUAUAGAGCUUCAGCUACCCUUACUAGAAGGUGAAUGAUUGGUAAACCUUCCUUACUAGAGCUCCUGCUUUUUGUUAGGCGCUUAGCAGUAAGCUAGCAGUUAAUUAGAUAGUAGGUCAUACAGGGGUAUUAAUCGGGAUUAAUUGGAUUAAGAUGCUCUAUAAUCCAGUUAAUAUCCCUCCUGCAACACACCCCCUAGGUAUAGGUGGAUCUUUUGUUAUUAUGGUUGCGCUUGUGGUUAGUAGGUAGUGUGGCUAAUUAGAGCGUUGUAUAUCUAAAGGGUUAAAUUAGCUCACCCUUUAGAUACUAACUAGCGCGCCUUCCUUGUUUAGCCUACGCUCGCGCGCGUAGAUAUUGCCCAGACUUAGCUCUGUAACUCUAUCUACCUAACUAUAAUCUUUACUAUAGCCCGUAUUGUAAGAUUGUGCAACCCUAAAGAUCUAAACUAUGCCUAUAUCCCUACUAACCUAUAUCUUAGUUAAAGUUAAAAACUGCUGCUCGCGCUCGCUCUACCCGCGCUGCCCUUAUCGCCUCCUACGCAGCUAAAGCUACAGUUGCUAAAGCCACCGCCGCUAAAGAAGAGCGCGCCGCUGCUAAGCGUAAGGCUGUCGCAGAGUAUACAGCAGCUAAGCGCGCGGCUACUGCUACUGUGGUUAAGAUCGCAAAGCUAAGGAAGGGCGCUCCUGCUCUAGCUCCUACUACUCUAGCUCUAACUCUAGCUCCCGCUCCUCCCUAGACCCUGUCUUCCCUAUCGCUCCGUCUCCUACUUCCCUCUUCUAGUCUCCUAAGGAGACCCUAAGAUCCUCCCGCCGCAGAGAGCCUAGCAUUUGUCGUGCUAAAACUUGUCUAAAUUAUCUACGCUUAGCGCUCUUUAACAAGUCUAAUAGCAAGUGCUAUAACUCUUCUAGUAGGGGGACUUAGUACUAGCAGUGCUCCUCUAGGUAUAGCUAUGUCCUAAUAUAUAUAAUCUAUAUAAGAAUUUUUCCUUUGUAACGCUUAGUAAGAUCUUAUACUAACAAACUAAUAGCCCUAAGCUCGCCUAACGUUCUGCGCUGUCUUUCCUAGCAAGGAAGCAGGCAGGUAAGAGCCAAGACCUUCUUAAGGAUAAGAAGCGGAGGGUCUUGGUGCUCCUUAAGGAGAGCAAGGCUAAGCAGCAGGAGCUAGUAAAAGCUGCUGCUACUGCCGCCGAGCUUGCGCGCAAGGCUGCUUUGGCAGCUAAGGGCGCCUAGAGCUCCUUAUUAGAAGAUAAGGACUCUAGCUCCUCUAAGGUUCCCCCUAUAGAUCCUAGGAUAGGGCAACCUAGGCAGCUCCCUAUAGACUCUAAGGCACGCUUCGCGCGCGUGAUAGAGCUCCUUAGAGAAGCUGCCUAGUUAAUAAUAGAGAGGUAGGCUAUAGUUAGUUAUUCUUGUAUUAUAUAUUAAUAGAUCUUAUAUACUACCUUACUUUAAUUAACGCUAUAUAAUCUGUGCUCUGCUAUCGUGUAACUUUAGGUGCUCCCUAAACCUUAUGAAUUGUUAUACAGUUAGAUUUUUAGUAAGCCUAUUAGCUAGCAUAUUACUAGUAGGUAGGUAGGUAAUAUAGAAAGAUCCCUUUGCAUAUUCUUGCCUAAGCCACAUGUUUUAAAUAUCUAUAUAGCGCAGCUUAGUAGUGAUCCUUUUGUUAUUGCCCACUACUAACCUAAUAGUUUGUUAAUUAUCACAAUUAAUUAUCUAGGUGGUAUCUAAAGUAAGAUGUAUUUCAGUUAAAAAGCGUUUUAACGCCAUUGCUUCUUUGCUUACUUGCUUAAGCGCAAGGAGCUCUGCCUUAGUAGUUAAAGUGGUAACAGUUACUUAUCAAGCUGCCUUCUAAAUAAUAGGUCCUCUAAAGAGCGUGAUUAGGUAUCCAUAUAAUAAUUGCCAAGUAUUAAUAUUAUUAGCAAAUAACGCAUCACUACAUAUUAUAAGCUUAUUAGGAUCUCUAUUCCUAUAUUAGAUUAAUUAGUAUUAAGUUUGGUAUAGAUAGACGAUCACUUAAUUAACCGCAUUAAAGUGUUGUUUGGAUGGGUUAGUAAGGUAUUAGGAGAGCCGGGAGGCUGCAUAGGCAAUAUUAGGGCGCACCAUAAUUGAGGUGUAAAGGAUUGAUCCAACGCGCUCCUAAUAGUCCUUAAUCUCCUUUUUGGUGGCUUCUCCUGUGCUUUUUUUAAUGUCUUUACUUAAUAGUAGUGUAGCAGGGAAUUUUCCUGUCUCUACUAGAUCAAAUUUCUUUGCGAUCUUGUUAAUGUAUUUAUUAUAAAUAAGCGUUAUUGUCUGUCUCUUUCUAUCCUAGAUUACUCUUACCCCUAGAAACCAGCUUACAGGUCCCUUUUCCUCUAUAUUAUAUCUUUGCUUUAGAGCUUGGAUAACUCUGUAAGCUUAGCUUGCGUAGUUUU